UCAUAUUUUCCUGCAUCUACAUCUGUUGCAGGGUUUCUUUUCUACGGUUGGUGUCAGCAGUCAGCUCAUCUCCUGGUUCAUCGUCCAGUAUUUGCACUCCUCUGAUCAACUUGCUAAGGAUUUCCUAAUGGAUCCUGUACACAUUCCACCAAGGGUUAUUUUGGAUGCUAUGCUGAACACACUCUAUAGCUCCCAAAAGCUGUGUACUACACCCAGCCUACAGGAGACAUUGGUAUAGAGACUGAUUGAGUAUUAUCCAUCUCUGCAGCACUUGCCAAAGAGCACUGUCAAGAGAUUUGUUUGUCAGUCUGAGUCAUCUUGCUACUUUUGCAGGUUUAUUUGCAUAUGAAAUCACCAGAAUUUUCGCCAUGGCUCUGGUUCUUGACAUGGGGGAGUAUAAUACAAAUGGUCCUUCAAAUCCAGUUGGAAGCUCCUCCCUGUAAUUGAUGAAGGCAGGAUUUACUAUUUCUAGGGAGUAAGAGGUUUAUUUGUUGAACCAUGAUAUCUAAGGGAGUAAGAGGCAACGUCCAGGGGUAUCUAAGAGAGCUGGUCCAGGCUUGAUGGAAAUCGCUUAGUACAUUCAUGGGAUCACAAACUUUUGGCGUUGGUUGAGAUUAGUGACGCGGGACCAUUAAUAACUAGAAGACUGUGACAAUUAACUUACUGUUUCAUGAAUUAGAGAGGCUGGGUUGGACCAACUCCAUGUUACAGGCCCUUUCCUCAUUGCAUUUCUCUUAACAUUAAAUUGAUUAAAUUAUAAUUUCAGUAGGAAAUCUACAACAUACCCAGAUCAUUAUGAUUACUCUUUAUUGUUUUUGUUUCUAUAUCUAAUUGAUAUAUAGAUUUUGCAUCUUGUCCUAUGACAUGUACUUCUGUAGUUGUGUCCAUUGGACUUACUCUUUUCAUUGUGGCAUCAUGAUUCCUCCUUUUCUUGGCUUGCUAUAUAUGUUUGUUUCAUGCUCCAUUUGGUGUUCCAAAAAUAUGCUCAAUUGUUAUAUGUAUCAAAUACAGUCUCUCCCAGUGGUGAACCAUCUGCUUAUUGUUUUACAUA